CAUUUUAUAGUUUAAAUAAAAUUUUAGAUUGCAAAUUUAAAAAUAUCUGUUAAGAUUAAAAUGU
rnacentral:tRNA from 1 species